CCGUCACCAGGUGUGUGUUAAGGGAGGAUCGGACACGCGUGUGCCAGGGAGGAUGCUGCCACCACGCUCUUCGAAGAUGUGCGGAGUCGUCGUGCCUGUACGGUUGACACCUCUACCACCGUCGCUGCCUUCGAGGAGGAUUCGUGCCUGCAUCUUAAUGUUCGCCAAGCCCAUUACAUCGCUGGUUCAGGACACACAACAAAACAAAUCUGAACCUCAGCGACAUAUUUGCUGGGAGAGAAAGAGGAUAAAAAGUGCUGGUCCUCUUCACAGGAUAGACCUUUUAUGUAUCAUGUAUCCAAGCAGGCUGCAUGUGAGGUGAAUCAAGGUAACUAUAUGAUCUAGUGAAGUAUAAACUCCUCUCCCUAUAAUAUGCAGCCUUCAAACCAUAGAUUUGUGAAUUUUAUGCCAGCUGGGCCUCUUUCAUUUUAAUGCUUGAGUCCUAAUAUUUCAUUUCUCCAAGCUUUUGAGUUCUAAUAUUGUUCUGUAUUAUGAGCUCUUGAACAUUUGCUUGCACAACAAUGAUCUAUAAUAAUUCCCUUCUAAGCCUAGAGAUAGUUGUACACAUCAUUUAUUCAAUCCUAAAUUACUCUAUGCUCUGAAUUACUCCCGUGGUGCAUUUUAUGUCCCCCUUACAUCUAUAUCUAUGUCUUCUUACUCAUAUACAUGCUUUCCCAUGUAAUCAUCCUUAACAAUUGUCAUGUUCAAUCUGUAACUACUUAUCAGGGUAUUUUCUGAUUUUCUUAUGUUGCCGCUUACUGAUCUUACGACAUGGAGAGGAGAGGCCAAGUAGCAGCAAGCAUGCAGCUGUGUCAUGCAAACAAACUGAUACUGCAGAAAGUCACUGAUUGUACAAAACCAGAAAAACAAAUUGCAGCGCAAGCAUGCAAAGAGACAAUUGCGCGAAUCAAACACAUAUUCAAAUAAUAAGGCAAUGAGAGGCUUUAUAUUAGGCGGUGUACUGCAACAAGGUGCCUCCCUCCAUCAUCAUUCCAUUCUUCUCCUGUUUCCUAUCUGUCAGCCGCACCUACAACCGGUGCCCCAAUCUAGCUCGACAAUUGACGGCGGCUACAUCUGUUGUGGCCGGCAGCGAGGCAAGCCCUCCUUCUAAACCAUGUAUGUUGAUUUCAAAUAGUAGAACUAAUUCAUACUUUGAAGUUGUUUGUUAAUCAGGCUUCCAUGGACGUUGAUUUCCAUUAAACAGUAUUUUGCGAACUUCUUGUUCUCUGCAAAUUUUGGAUGCCGCCGGUCAGUGUGACGCCCAAAUCCUGGUGGCGAGUCUUUUUCUAAUUGAGAGAAUUAUUUAGGAUCCCGGUCUGGAAAACUAGAUGGUGUAUGGAUUCAGAGAUGAACAUGACGAACAAUAGAAGGUCGAUUUGGAUUAUUCUUGGUCCAUAACUUUCAAUUAUUCCACUGCCACACAACUGUGCUUGUGCUGGCAGGGAGAGGAGGAGAAGUAAGGCGUUGUGGGCAGGGACUGGCUGUGGGUACAAGAAGGCCAGAUAUGAGAUGGUGGAAAGGAUGCACGCAGGAGAAGAGAACAGACUGCAACGGAAGGCAGUUUGAGAUGUAGUAGUGGACGCCUCUUCCAUGAUAUUCAGCAAUCUGCGUGUUCAGUGAUGCCGCACACGUCCUCUCAUCUCGUCACGAACGGCCUAGAUGUGGCAGCUGCCGUCAACAUCCCAACCGUCACCAGCACGACGUGUUGAAUGACAUUGGCAUCGUCUCACUGGGGCAGCAGCUCAACACCGGCAUUAUUCUGAGAACAAUUGUCACUGAAUUGCUUUCAAGGCGGAUGUUCCAUAGACAAACAAGCAUGCAAUCAACACUGCAUGAUUUCAAUUGGUUUCCAAUCCUGGAGAGAAGGAACGAUAUGAGCUAAAAGAUGCAGAAAAAGAGGAUUAGGCCCGCAGAUUGUUAUCAAGGAGAACAUUGAGCUAUGAGGGUGUUUUUUCGGGCAACACCGGCGAUGGUCUCAGCAGCUAUAUGAUGGUGAACUGUAGCUGUCGUAAUAUUCUGAGAAAUAUAUUAUGAUUAAUUUUUACUUACCUAUCCGAUUUUUUUUCAUUGCGAUGAUCUGAUAGGCCCCAUAUAGGUGUCUGGAUUGUAAUAGGUAUUUUUCUGGGUUAAGAAGGAAGAAUGUUUCGGGUGUUCAUUAAGAUUAUUCUUGAUUGGUGAA